UAUCCGUAGGUGAACCUGCGGAAGGAUCAUUACCGAGUUAGGGUCUCUCAGAACCGACCUCCCACCCUGUGUUUUUGUGACCUUUUUGCUUGUGCGGGCCCGCCUCCAUGAGAGGCCGCCGGAAGCUCACCGCGUUGGGCCCGUGGCCGUCAGUAUCCCCCUUAAAUUCUUAAUAAACCUUUCUUUUGAGUUAAUGGAUAUAAUUAAAAAAAACUUUCAACAAAGGGUCUCUUGGUUUUGGGAUCGAUGCAGAACGCAGCAGAACGGACUAGCACACAU
rnacentral:misc_RNA from 1 species